rnacentral:rRNA from 1 species
GGUUUUCCAGGCAAAUCCGGAAAAUCAAGGCUGAGGCGUGAUGACGAGGCACUACGGUGCUGAAGCAACAAAUGCCCUGCUUCCAGGAAAAGCCUCUAAGCAUCAGGUAACAUCAAAUCGUACCCCAAACCGACACAGGUGGUCAGGUAGAGAAUACCAAGGCGCUUGAGAGAACUCGGGUGAAGGAACUAGGCAAAAUGGUGCCGUAACUUCGGGAGAAGGCACGCUGAUAUGUAGGUGAGGUCCCUCGCGGAUGGAGCUGAAAUCAGUCGAAGAUACCAGCUGGCUGCAACUGUUUAUUAAAAACACAGCACUGUGCAAACACGAAAGUGGACGUAUACGGUGUGACGCCUGCCCGGUACCGGAAGGUUAAUUGAUGGGGUUAGCGCAAGCGAAGCUCUUGAUCGAAGCCCCGGUAAACGGCGGCCGUAACAAUAACGGUCCUAAGGUAGCGAAAUUCCUUGUCGGGUAAGUUCCGACCUGCACGAAUGGCGUAAUGAUGGCCAGGCUGUCUCCACCCGAGACUCAGUGAAAUUGAACUCGCUGUGAAGAUGCAGUGUACCCGCGGCAAGACGGAAAGACCCCGUGAACCUUUACUAUAGCUUGACACUGAACAUUGAGCCUUGAUGUGUAGGAUAGGUGGGAGGCUUUGAAGUGUGGACGCCAGUCUGCAUGGAGCCGACCUUGAAAUACCACCCUUUAAUGUUUGAUGUUCUAACGUUGACCCGUAAUCCGGGUUGCGGACAGUGUCUGGUGGGUAGUUUGACUGGGGCGGUCUCCUCCUAAAGAGUAACGGAGGAGCACGAAGGUUGGCUAAUCCUGGUCGGACAUCAGGAGGUUAGUGCAAUGGCAUAAGCCAGCUUGACUGCGAGCGUGACGGCGCGAGCAGGUGCGAAAGCAGGUCAUAGUGAUCCGGUGGUUCUGAAUGGAAGGGCCAUCGCUCAACGGAUAAAAGGUACUCCGGGGAUAACAGGCUGAUACCGCCCAAGAGUUCAUAUCGACGGCGGUGUUUGGCACCUCGAUGUCGGCUCAUCACAUCCUGGGGCUGAAGUAGGUCCCAAGGGUAUGGCUGUUCGCCAUUUAAAGUGGUACGCGAGCUGGGUUUAGAACGUCGUGGGACAGUUCGGUCCCUAUCUGCCGUGGGCGCUGGAGAACUGAGGGGGGCUGCUCCUAGUACGAGAGGACCGGAGUGGACGCAUCACUGGUGUUCGGGUUGUCAUGCCAAUGGCACUGCCCGGUAGCUAAAUGCGGAAGAGAUAAGUGCUGAAAGCAUCUAAGCACGAAACUUGCCCCGAGAUGAGUUCUCCCUGACCCUUUAAGGGUCCUGAAGGAACGUUGAAGACGACGACGUUGAUAGGCCGGGUGUGUAAGCGCAGCGAUGCGUUGAGCUAACCGGUACUAAUGAACCGUGAGGCUUAACCGU